rnacentral:rRNA from 1 species
GAUGAACGCUAGCUACAGGCUUAACACAUGCAAGUCGAGGGGAAACGCCAUCGAAAGCUUGCUUUUGAUGGGCGUCGACCGGCGCACGGGUGAGUAACGCGUAUCCAACCUGCCCAUCACUUGGGAAUAACCUUGCGAAAGUAAGACUAAUACCCAAUGACAUCCCACGAAGACAUCUGAAUGGGAUUAAAGAUUUAUCGGUGAUGGAUGGGGAUGCGUCUGAUUAGCUUGUUGGCGGGGUAACGGCCCACCAAGGCAACGAUCAGUAGGGGUUCUGAGAGGAAGGUCCCCCACAUUGGAACUGAGACACGGUCCAAACUCCUACGGGAGGCAGCAGUGAGGAAUAUUGGUCAAUGGGCGAGAGCCUGAACCAGCCAAGUAGCGUGCAGGAUGACGGCCCUAUGGGUGGUAAACUGCUUUUAUAAGGGAAUAAAGUGGGUCUCGGGAGACUUUUUGCAUGUACCUUAUGAAUAAGGACCGGCUAAGUCCGUG